UACAGAGGUCUCAAGCGUUGUUCGGAUUCAUUGGGCGUAAAGGGCGCGUAGGCGGCGGGGUAAGUCGGGUGUGAAAUCUCAGAGCUCAACUCUGAAACUGCACUCGAUACUGCUCUGCUUGAGGACUGGAGAGGAGACUGGAAUUCACGGUGUAGCAGUGAAAUGCGUAGAUAUCUGGAGGAACACCGGUGGCGAAGGCGGCAUCCUGGACCAAUUCUGACACUGGAGGAGCGAAAGCCAGGGGAGCAAACGGG
rnacentral:rRNA from 1 species